rnacentral:rRNA from 1 species
UGGGGAAUAUUGGACAAUGGGCGCAAGCCUGAUCCAGCAAUGCCGCGUGUGUGAAGAAGGCCUGCGGGUUGUAAAGCACUUUCAGCGGGGAAGAAAAGCCUGGGGUUAAUACCCUCGGGUCUUGACGUUACUCGCAGAAGAAGCACCGGCUAACUCCGUGCCAGCAGCCGCGGUAAUACGGAGGGUGCAAGCGUUAAUCGGAAUCACUGGGCGUAAAGCGCGCGUAGGCGGCCAGGUAAGUCAGAUGUGAAAGCCCCGAGCUCAACUUGGGAACUGCAUUUGAUACUGCCGGGCUCGAGUCCGAUAGAGGGGGGUGGAAUUCCAGGUGUAGCGGUGAAAUGCGUAGAUAUCUGGAGGAACACCGGUGGCGAAGGCGGCCCCCUGGAUCGAGACUGACGCU